UUCUGGCUUCAAGCUUUUAGCUCAAACACGUGUCCCCUGUCCUCGUAACAGCUGACGAAGAAGGGCGAGGGUGAGAAGCUGGUCCUGCAGGUGAGUCAGGAGGACAGCGGGGUUUACCUGUGUGAAGCUGGAGCCCAGAAGCUCUCCUAUUGGUCCAGACACGUGACUCUGGAGGUCGACGCCGCUGCAGGCGGCAUCGAGGGUGUGGUGGCACUUCCCUCCAUCAUGUGUGGAGUGUUGUUGGUCCUCUACAUCACGACAGUCGUGGUGGAUGUGUACAAGUAUCAAAGUAUUUCCAGGAGGCUGAAGCAGAUUGAGCUGAAGGGGGAACACACCUACAGCGGUCUGAGAACCUGCAGCGUCCCCUCUGACUAUGACCGACUCCAGCCUCGACAGCCGAAAGCGAACGCCUCUCUUGAAGAUCACAACUACGAGAACCCCGUCGUCCUGCAAGCAGGUUUUAAAAAUGAAGCGCCGCCAAAGAGGACCUGAAGAAACGGGUCGAAGUCUUUU